CCCGAGCGUUGUCCGGAUUUAUUGGGCGUAAAGGGAGCGCAGGCGGUCAGGAAAGUCUGGAGUAAAAGGCUAUGGCUCAACCAUAGUGUGNUCUGGAAACUGUCUGACUUGAGUGCAGAAGGGGAGAGUGGAAUUCCAUGUGUAGCGGUGAAAUGCGUAGAUAUAUGGAGGAACACCAGUGGCGAAAGCGGCUCUCUGGUCUGUCACUGACGCUGAGGCUCGAAAGCGUGGGUAGCGAACAGGAUUAGAUACCCUGGUAGUCCACGCCGUAAACGAUGAGUGCUAGGUGUUAGGCCCUUUCCGGGGCUUAGUGCCGGAGCUAACGCAAUAAGCACUCCGCCUGGGGAGUACGACCGCAAGGUUGAAACUCAAAGGAAUUGACGGGGGCCCGCACAAGCGGUGGAGCAUGUGGUUUAAUUCGAAGCAACGCGAAGAACCUUACCAGGUCUUGACAUCCCGAUGCUAUUCUUAGAGAUAGGAAGUUACUUCGGUACAUCGGAGACAGGUGGUGCAUGGUUGUCGUCAGCUCGUGUCGUGAGAUGUUGGGUUAAGUCCCGCAACGAGCGCAACCCUUAUUGUUAGUUGCCAUCAUUAAGUUGGGCACUCUAGCGAGACUGCCGGUAAUAAACCGGAGGAAGGUGGGGAUGACGUCAAAUCAUCAUGCCCCUUAUGACCUGGGCUACACACGUGCUACAAUGGUCGGUACAACGAGUUGCGAGCCGGUGACGGCAAGCUAAUCUCUGAAAGCCGAUCUCAGUUCGGAUUGGAGGCUGCAACUCGCCUCCAUGAAGUCGGAAUCGCUAGUAAUCGCGGAUCAGCACGCCGCGGUGAAUACGUUCCCGGGCCUUGUACACACCGCCCGUCACACCACGAGAGUUUGUANCACCCG
rnacentral:rRNA from 1 species